rnacentral:rRNA from 1 species
ACGUAGGGCGCAAGCGUUGUCCGGAAUUAUUGGGCGUAAAGAGCUCGUAGGCGGUUUGUCGCGUCUGCUGUGAAAACUCGAGGCUCAACCUCGGGCUUGCAGUGGGUACGGGCAGACUAGAGUGCGGUAGGGGAGACUGGAAUUCCUGGUGUAGCGGUGGAAUGCGCAGAUAUCAGGAGGAACACCGAUGGCGAAGGCAGGUCUCUGGGCCGCAACUGACGCUGAGGAGCGAAAGCAUGGGGAGCGAACAGGAUUAGAUACCCUGGUAGUCCAUGCCGUAAACGUUGGGCACUAGGUGUGGGGCUCAUUCCACGAGUUCCGUGCCGCAGCUAACGCAUUAAGUGCCCCGCCUGGGGAGUACGGCCGCAAGGCUA